ensembl:ncRNA C47C12.7 ncRNA
AGACCUCAAACCUUCACCCCAGAAGCACUGGACGAAAAAAGGUUAAUGAAGUUGCUCCCCAGUGAGCAUUUUGUGGCCCUACUAUUCUAUUCGACUCUCUCACUCUUGCCGCCUAGCCUAUUUCCGUUUUUAGCACUCAACAAU